rnacentral:rRNA from 1 species
AGAAUCAACGCUGGCGGCGUGCCUAACACAUGCAAGUCGCACGAGAAAGGGGCUUCGGUCCUGAGUACAGUGGCGCACGGGUGAGUAACACGUGAAUAAUCUACCUCCGAGUGGGGAAUAACUGAGAGAAAUCUUAGCUAAUACCGCAUAACACUUACGGGUCAAAGCAGCAAUGCGCUUGGAGAGGAGUUCGCGGCAGAUUAGUUAGUUGGCGGGGUAAUGGCCCACCAAGACGAUGAUCUGUA